GAUGAACGCUGGCGGCGUGCCUAAUACAUGCAAGUCGAGCGAACAGACGAGGAGCUUGCUCCUCUGACGUUAGCGGCGGACGGGUGAGUAACACGUGGAUAACCUACCUAUAAGACUGGGAUAACUUCGGGAAACCGGAGCUAAUACCGGAUAAUAUAUUGAACCGCAUGGUUCAAUAGUGAAAGACGGUUUUGCUGUCACUUAUAGAUGGAUCCGCGCCGCAUUAGCUAGUUGGUAAGGUAACGGCUUACCAAGGCAACGAUGCGUAGCCGACCUGAGAGGGUGAUCGGCCACACUGGAACUGAGACACGGUCCAGACUCCUACGGGAGGCAGCAGGAGGGAAUCUUCCGCAAUGGGCGAAGGCCUGACGGAGCAACGCCGCGUGAGUGAUGAAGGUCUUCGGAUCGUAAAACUCUGUUAUUAGGGAAGAACAAAUGUGUGAGUAACUAUGCACGUCUUGACGGUACCUAAUCAGAAAGCCACGGCUAACUAC
rnacentral:rRNA from 1 species